rnacentral:rRNA from 1 species
ACAGAGGGGGCAAGCGUUGUUCGGAAUUACUGGGCGUAAAGCGCGUGUAGGCGGUUCGUUAAGUCGACUGUGAAAUCCCAUGGCUCAACCAUGGAAGUGCAGUCGAUACUGGCAAACUGGAGUCCUGGAGAGGGUGGCGGAAUUCCCAGUGUAGAGGUGAAAUUCGUAGAUAUUGGGAGGAACACCGGUGGCGAAGGCGGCCACCUGGAGAGGUACUGACGCUGAGACGCGAAAGCGCGGGUAGCAAACAGGAUUAGAUACCCUGGUAGUCCGCGCUGUAAACGAUGAGCACUAGAUGUUGCGGGUAUUGACCCCUGCAGUGUCGACGCUAACGCAUUAAGUGCUCCGCCUGGGGACUACGGCCGCAAGGCUA